rnacentral:lncRNA from 1 species
UGAGUGAUCUUGGAAUGUUCAACUUUACUUGGAAACUAUUGGCAAAGUACUGACAGAAUUUCAUGAGAAGCCAGUAUCAUAUUCUAGUCUGCAACCGGAAACUAUGCGUAAAGUGCUGAAACUUAAGAACAACAUUCUACAUGUAUAUGCAAUAUGUGUUGCCACAAUCCACUUAAGGAGCUAAGAUCAACUAUAAAUUGGAACUACAUGUAUAUGCUUUAGUGCUGUCAAAAUCCUUUAAAAAAAUCCAAUCAAAAGGACCUACCUCACCAAUAUAUACAUAGCUACCUGUCCCAAUGAUGAAUACAUAUCAUAUAUAUGAGUCUUAUAAAAAAACAGUGAAGGAGAAUAAAAAUAAUGAAAAUAUAGAGC